rnacentral:rRNA from 1 species
AGGAAGCGAGAAGUCGACGCGCCGACCCCCCGCGAGGGGGGCGAGGCGUCCGGCCCUCCGCGAGCACCCGCGGGGGUUCGGGUUCCGGACCCGGUCCGAUCCCGUUCCCACCGAGGGGCUGUCCGCGAUCAUGGAGGUGUCCUCGGACGGCGUCGAAUUCGCCAAAAGUUCUCCGGUCCGCGACGCUACGGCUUGGAUGGUCCACCCGACCCGUCUUGAAACACGGACCAAGGAGUCUAACAUGCGCGCGAGUCGUUGGGUCGGAAACGCUCCGCUAAACCCAUAGGCGCAAUGAAAGUGAAGGCCGCCGUCGGGGUGGCCGAGGGAGGACGGGGCCGAUCUCGUGCGCUCCGGCGCACGUCGGUCCCCGCACCCCCGGGGCGUCUCGUUCCCUCAUCGCGAGGGGAGGCGCACCCAGAGCGCACACGUUGGGACCCGAAAGAUGGUGAACUAUGCCUGGCCAGGACGAAGUCAGGGGAAACCCUGAUGGAGGUCCGUAGCGAUUCUGACGUGCAAAUCGAUCGUCGGAGCUGGGUAUAGGGGCGAAAGACUAAUCGAACCAUCUAGUAGCUGGUUCCCUCCGAAGUUUCCCUCAGGAUAGCUUGCGCUCGGAGGAGAGUCUCAUCCGGUAAAGCGAAUGAUUAGAGGCCUUGGGGCCGAAACGGCUUCAACCUAUUCUCAAACUUUAAAUGGGUGAGAACUCCGGCUUGCUCGAACGAACGAAGCCGGAGACGGGGUCCGUCCCUCGGGGGGGGCCCCCGGGAUCGGAGUGCAUAGUGGGCCACUUUUGGUAAGCAGAACUGGCGCUGUGGGAUGAACCAAACGACGGGUUAAGGCGCCCGAAUCGACGCUCAUGGGAAACCAUGAAAGGUGUUGGUUGCUUAAGACAGCAGGACGGUGGCCAUGGAAGUCGGAAUCCGCUAAGGAGUGUGUAAUAACUCACCUGCCGAAGCAACUAGCCCUGAAAAUGGAUGGCGCUGAAGCGUCGUGCCUAUACCCGGCCGUCGCGGCAGGGUGGGCCCGGCCUCGUGUCGGGUGCCGCUUGAAGCGGCGACGAGUAGGAGGGUCGCGGCGGCGCGCGCAGAAGGGUCUGGGCUCGAGCCUGCCUGGAGCCGCCGCCGGUGCAGAUCUUGGUGGUAGUAGCAAAUACUCCAGCGAGGCCCUGGAGGACUGAUGUGGAGAAGGGUUUCGUGUGAACAGCCGUUGCACACGAGUCAGUCGAUCCUAAGCCCUAGGAGAAAUCCGACGCCAACGGCGACGGGAAAAGUGAAAAUUCAAAGAAAGAAACCCGUUGAUCGGGCGAAAGGGAAUCCGGUUCCUAUUCCGGAACCCGGCAGCGGAACCGCUGUUUGUCGGGCCCUCACAAGGGGUUCGUCAGGGUAACCUAAAAGGGCCCGGAGCCGCCGUCGGGAGCCCCGGAAAGAGUUUUCUUUUCUGCAUGAGCGUUCGAGUUCCCUG